rnacentral:rRNA from 1 species
UGCNNGUCGAGCGGUAACAUUUCUAGCUUGCUAGAAGAUGACGAGCGGCGGACGGGUGAGUAAUACUUAGGAAUCUACCUAGUAGUGGGGGAUAGCUCGGGGAAACUCGAAUUAAUACCGCAUACGUCCUACGGGAGAAAGGGGGCAACUUGUUGCUCUCGCUAUUAGAUGAGCCUAAGUCGGAUUAGCUAGAUGGUGGGGUAAAGGCCUACCAUGGCGACGAUCUGUAGCUGGUCUGAGAGGAUGAUCAGCCACACCGGGACUGAGACACGGCCCGGACUCCUACGGGAGGCAGCAGUGGGGAAUAUUGGACAAUGGGGGAAACCCUGAUCCAGCCAUGCCGCGUGUGUGAAGAAGGCCUUUUGGUUGUAAAGCACUUUAAGCAGUGAAGAAGACUCUUCGGUUAAUACCCGGAGACGAUGACAUUAGCUGCAGAAUAAGCACCGGCUAACUCUGUGCCAGCAGCCGCGGUAAUACAGAGGGUGCAAGCGUUAAUCGGAAUUACUGGGCGUAAAGCGAGCGUAGGUGGCUCGAUAAGUCAGAUGUGAAAUCCCCGGGCUUAACCUGGGAACUGCAUCUGAAACUGUCAGGCUAGAGUAGGUGAGAGGAAGGUAGAAUUCCAGUGUAGCGGUGAAAUGCGUAGAGAUCUGGAGGAAUACCGAUGGCGAAGGCAGCCUUCUGGCAUCAUACUGACACUGAGGCUCGAAAGCGUGGGUAGCAAACAGGAUUAGAUACCCUGGUAGUCCACGCCGUAAACGAUGUCUACUAGUCGUUGGGUCCCUUGAGGACUUAGUGACGCAGCUAACGCAAUAAGUAGACCGCCUGGGGAGUACGGCCGCAAGGUUAAAACUCAAAUGAAUUGACGGGGGCCCGCACAAGCGGUGGAGCAUGUGGUUUAAUUCGAUGCAACGCGAAGAACCUUACCUGGUCUUGACAUAUCUAGAAUCCUGCAGAGAUGCGGGAGUGCCUUCGGGAAUUAGAAUACAGGUGCUGCAUGGCUGUCGUCAGCUCGUGUCGUGAGAUGUUGGGUUAAGUCCCGCAACGAGCGCAACCCUUGUCCUUAGUUACCAGCGGGUUAAGCCGGGAACUCUAAGGAUACUGCCAGUGACAAACUGGAGGAAGGCGGGGACGACGUCAAGUCAUCAUGGCCCUUACGACCAGGGCUACACACGUGCUACAAUGGUAGGUACAGAGGGCAGCUACACAGCGAUGUGAUGCGAAUCUCAAAAAGCCUAUCGUAGUCCAGAUUGGAGUCUGCAACUCGACUCCAUGAAGUAGGAAUCGCUAGUAAUCGCGGAUCAGAAUGCCGCGGUGAAUA